rnacentral:siRNA from 1 species
UGGCAUAUCUAUGUAAUUACUUA